rnacentral:rRNA from 1 species
CAGCCGCCACGGGAAUACGUAGGGUGCGAGCGUUAAUCGGAAUUACUGGGCGUAAAGCGUGCGCAGGCGGUUGUGUAAGACAGGUGUGAAAUCCCCGGGCUUAACCUGAGAACCGCGCUUGUGACUGCACAGCUAGAGUAAGGCAGAGGGGGGUGGAAUUCCACGUGUAGCAGUGAAAUGCGUAGAGAUGUGGAGGAGCACCGAUGGCGAAGGCAGCCCCCUGGGCCAAUACUGACGCUCAUGCACGAAAGCGUGGGGAGCAAACAGGAUUAGAUACCCGUGUAGUCCCUGUCUCUUAUAC